GACGAACGCUGGCGGCGUGCUUAACACAUGCAAGUCGAACGGAAAGGCCCUGCUUUUGUGGGGUGCUCGAGUGGCGAACGGGUGAGUAACACGUGAGUAACCUGCCCUUGACUUUGGGAUAACUUCAGGAAACUGGGGCUAAUACCGGAUAGGAGCUCCUGCUGCAUGGUGGGGGUUGGAAAGUUUCGGCGGUUGGGGAUGGACUCGCGGCUUAUCAGCUUGUUGGUGGGGUAGUGGCUUACCAAGGCUUUGACGGGUAGCCGGCCUGAGAGGGUGACCGACCACAUUGGGACUGAGAUACGGCCCAGACUCCUACGGGAGGCAGCAGUGGGGAAUAUUGCACAAUGGGCGGAAGCCUGAUGCAGCAACGCCGCGUGCGGGAUGACGGCCUUCGGGCUGUAAACCGCUUUCGCCUGUGACGAAGCGUGAGUGACGGUAAUGGGUAAAGAAGCACCGGCUAACUACGUG
rnacentral:rRNA from 1 species